CCUACGGGAGGCAGCAGUCGAGAAUCUUUCACAAUGGGGGAAACCCUGAUGGUGCGACGCCGCGUGGGGGAAUGAAGGUCUUCGGAUUGUAAACCCCUGUCAUGUGGGAGCAAAUUAAAAAGAUAGUACCACAAGAGGAAGAGACGGCUAACUCUGUGACAGCAGCCGCGGUAAUACAGAGGUCGCAAGCGUUGUUCGGCAUCACUGGGCGUAAAGCGUGCGUAGGCGGUUUAGUAAGUCGUGUGUGAAAGGCUCGGGCUCAACCCGGGAACGGCACAUGAUACUGCGGGACUAGAGUAAUGGAGGGGGAACCGGAAUUCGCGGUGUAGCAGUGAAAUGCGUAGAUAUCGGGAGGAACACUCGUGGCGAAGGCGGGUUCCUGGACAUUAACUGACGCUGAGGCACGAAGGCCUGGGGAGCGAAAGGGAUUAGAUACCCCAGUAGUC
rnacentral:rRNA from 1 species